UGCAUGUGGUGGCAUGUGUCUGAGUCUAGGUUACAAAGGUAAAGGGAAAUGUUUCAGCCAGCAAAGCUACCUUGGGAACCUUACAGUCUUUAGGUUCUAAACUUAAGAAAAGUUAUGAGCCCUUUCGUUAUGUAUUGGAGAUCAGCAUGGGAUUUAUUAUGGAGGCAGCCAGAAGGCAGCAGUGCAACAAGAAAAGUUCUGGGUUGAAGUCUUGGUUUAAUGAUGUUGGGGUGGAACAGGAAGGGAAGCUGUUGGACCAUUCAGACUUGUGAAGGCAAGGAAGAGCUUCUCAGAGCCUUCUGAACAGCGUCGUGUGGAUUGUACACUGGAAAACUUUCAGGAGCUGUAAAGAGAAAAGCCCUUAGAAAAGAGGGCUCCUGCUUGGAUGCUGAGUUUCUCAAGGGGAAUUCUCCUUCGUUCUUGUCCUCCUCCUCCACAUGCAUUAAAUUAAUUUACCUACUUGAUGGUGCGUGUCUCUAUCAUGGGGAAAGGAGAAUGUAAACUACUUUUUAUAUACACAUUUCUUGCACCAUUAAACUAUUCUUUCUGUGACAGAACCUAUGAAUAAGUUACAAGAGGUAACCUAGACCGUUCUUAGGACAUCCCUUUCUGUAUUAAAUGUAUGCAUGUGCAUCUGCACUUAACUCUUUGUGUACUAUCCAGCUAAAGGUAAAAGUAGUUAUAAAU
rnacentral:lncRNA from 1 species